rnacentral:rRNA from 1 species
GACGAACGCUGGCGGCGUGCUUAACACAUGCGAGUCGAACGGAAAGGCCCUGCUUUUGUGGGGUGCUCGAGUGGCGAACGGGUGAGUAACACGUGAGUAACCUGCCCUUGACUUUGGGAUAACUUCAGGAAACUGGGGCUAAUACCGGAUAGGAGCUCCUGCUGCAUGGUGGGGGUUGGAAAGUUUCGGCGGUUGGGGAUGGACUCGCGGCUUAUCAGCUUGUUGGUGGGGUAGUGGCUUACCAAGGCUUUGACGGGUAGCCGGCCUGAGAGGGUGACCGGCCACAUUGGGACUUAGAUACGGCCCAGACUCCUACGGGAGGCAGCAGUGGGGAAUAUUGCACAAUGGGCGGAAGCCUGAUGCAGCAACGCCGCGUGCGGGAUGACGGCCUUCGGGUUGUAAACCGCUUUCGCCUGUGACGAAGCGUGAGUGACGGUAAUGGGUAAAGAAGCACCGGCUAACUACGUG